rnacentral:rRNA from 1 species
CCUACGGGAGGCAGCAGUGAGGAAUAUUGGUCAAUGGACGAGAGUCUGAACCAGCCAAGUAGCGUGAAGGAUGACUGCCCUAUGGGUUGUAAACUUCUUUUAUAUGGGAAUAAAACGUUCCACGUGUGGGAUUUUGUAUGUACCAUAUGAAUAAGGAUCGGCUAACUCCGUGCCAGCAGCCGCGGUAAUACGGAGGAUCCGAGCGUUAUCCGGAUUUAUUGGGUUUAAAGGGAGCGUAGGUGGAUUGUUAAGUCAGUUGUGAAAGUUUGCGGCUCAACCGUAAAAUUGCAGUUGAAACUGGCAGUCUUGAGUACAGGAGAGGUGGGCGGAAUUCGUGGUGUAGCGGUGAAAUGCUUAGAUAUCGCGAAGAACUCCGAUUGCGAAGGCAGUUCACUGGACUGCAACUGACACUGAGGCUCGAAAGUGUGGGUAUCAAACAGGAUUAGAUACCCUUGUAGUC